AACACCCUGCAUAGUGCGUGAAGGCAGAAUUUUUAGAACCUACAAGUUUAAAGAGGGGCCGAACUCUCAAAUAUGGCGUGCAAGCUUACACUUUAUACAAAAUAUUAGUAGUAAGAAGCCCAUGAAUAUUUAGGUAGGCACCCACCUGUUUUUGAGAGCAGGUUAUUAAAAAUUUUGACAUAACUUACGGCUACCGCGGGGAGUUU
rnacentral:other from 1 species